CCCUCGCGCGCUCUUGGGCAACACGGCAGGCGUGGAAGAGGCAGCGGCCUCCGGGAGCCACCUGAAUGGUGACUUGGAUCCAGACGACAGGGAGGAGGAAGCUGCCUCUAGGGCCGAAGAAGCAGCCAAGAAAAAAAGACGGAAGAAGAAGAGUAAAGGGGCUACUGCAGGAGGGCAACAAGAACCUGAUGAAGAAUCAGGAGCCUCAGUCGAUGAGGUAGCAAGACAAUUGGAAAAACAAGCAUUGGAAGAGAAAGAAAGAGAUGAAGAUGAUGAAGAUGGAGAUGGUGAUGGGGAUGGAGCAACCGGAAAGAAGAAGAAGAAGAAGAAGAAGAAGAAGAAGAAGAAGAGAGGAUCAAAAGUUCAAACAGACCCUCCCUCAGUUCCAAUAUGUCACCUGUAUCCUAAUGGUGUAUUUCCCAAAGGACAAGAGUGUGAAUACCCACCCACACAAGAUGGGCGAACAGCUGCUUGGAGAACUACAAGGGAAGAAAAGAAAGCCUUAGAUCAGGCCAGUGAAGAGAUUUGGAAUGAUUUUCGAGAAGCUGCAGAAGCACAUCGACAAGUUAGAAAAUAUGUUAUGAGCUGGAUCAAGCCUGGGAGGACAAUGAUAGAAAUCUGCGAAAAGUUAGAAGACUGUUCACGCAAAUUGAAUAAAAGAGAAUGGAUUAAAUGCAGGCCUGGCAUUUCCUACUGGGUGUUCUCUCAAUAAUUGUGCUGCCCAUUAUACUCCCAAUGCUGGUGACACAACAGUAUUACAGUAUGAUGACAUCUGUAAGAUAGAUUUUGGAACACACAUAAGUGGUAGGAUUAUUGACUGUGCUUUUACUGUCACUUUUAAUCCCAAAUAUGAUACGUUAUUAAAAGCUGUAAAGGAUGCUACCAAUACUGGAAUAAAGUGUGCUGGAAUUGAUGUUCGUCUAUGUGAUGUUGGGGAGGCCACCCAAGAAGUUAUGGAAUCCUAUGAAGUUGAAAUAGAUGGGAAGACAUAUCAAGUGAAACCAAUCCAUAAUCUAAAUGGACAUUCAAUUGGGCAAUAUAGAACACAUCCUGGGAAAACAGUGCCCAUUGUGAAAGGAGGAGAGGCAACAAGAAUGGAGGAAGGAGAAGUGUAUGCAAUGGAAACCUUUGGUAGUGCAGGAAAAGGUGUUGUUCAUGACGACGUGGAAUGUUCACAUUACAUGAAAAAUUUUGAUGUUGGACAUGUGCUGAUAAGGCUUCCAAGAACAAAACACUUGCUAAAUGUCAUCAGUGACAACUUUGGCACCCUUGCCUUCUGCCGCAGAUGGCUUGAUCGCUUGGGAGAAAGUAA